rnacentral:rRNA from 1 species
GACGAACGCUGGCGGCGUGCUUAACACAUGCAAGUCGAACGGAAAGGCCCUGCUUUUGUGGGGUGCUCGAGUGGCGAACGGGUGAGUAACACGUGAGUAACCUGCCCUUGACUUUGGGAUAACUUCAGGAAACUGGGGCUAAUACCGGAUAGGAGCUCCUGCUGCAUGGUGGGGGUUGGAAAGUUUCGGCGGUUGGGGAUGGACUCGCGGCUUAUCAGCUUGUUGGUGGGGUAGUGGCUUACCAAGGCUUUGACGGGUAGCCGGCCUGAGAGGGUGACCGGCCACAUUGGGACUGAGAUACGGGCCAGACUCCUAAGGGAGGCAGAAGGGGGGAAUAUUGCACAAUGGGCGGAAGCCUGAUGCAGCAACGCCGCGUGCGGGAUAACGGCCUUCGGGUUGUAAAACGAUUACGCCUGUGACGAAGCGUGAGUGACGGUAAUGGGUAAAGAAGCACAGGCUAAAUACGUG